rnacentral:rRNA from 1 species
UGUUGUUAGUCGAUGGGAAACAGGUCAAUAUUCCUGUACCGCUCUAUGAUGCGAUGGGGGGACGGAGAAGGUUAGGUUGGCCAUCUGUUGGAAUAGGUGGUUCAAGUGUGUGGGCGUGCUGCGUAGGCAAAUCCGCGCGGCUUAGCUGAGGCAUGAUAACGAGGGCCCUCGGGCCCGAAGCAACUGAUACCCUGCUUCCAGGAAAAGCCUCUAAGCUUCAGUCAUAGAGUGACCGUACCGCAAACCGACACAGGUGGGCUGGUGGAGAAUACCAAGGCGCUUGAGAGAACUCAGGAGAAGGAACUCGGCAAAUUGAUACCGUAACUUCGGGAGAAGGUAUGCCCCGUUAGCUUGUAGGAGUACAUCCGAAGGGCGAAGGGGCCGCAGAGAAUCGGUGGCUGCGACUGUUUAUUAAAAACACAGCACUGUGCAAACACGAAAGUGGACGUAUACGGUGUGACGCCUGCCCGGUGCCGGAAGGUUAAGUGAUGGGGUGCAAGCUCUUGAUCGAAGCCCCGGUAAACGGCGGCCGUAACGAUAACGGUCCUAAGGUAGCGAAAUUCCUUGUCGGGUAAGUUCCGACCUGCACGAAUGGCGUAACGAUGGCCACACUGUCUCCUCCUGAGACUCAGCGAAGUUGAAAUGUUUGUGAAGAUGCAAUCUACCCGCGGCUAGACGGAAAGACCCCAUGAACCUUUACUGUAGCUUUGCAUUGGACUUUGACGGGAUUUGUGUAGGAUAGGUGGGAGGCUAUGAAACCAGGACGCUAGUUCGGGUGGAGCCAACCUUGAAAUACCACCCUGGUGUCGUCGAGGUUCUAACCCAGGUCUGUGAAUCCAGAUCGGGGACCGUGCAUGGUGGGCAGUUUGACUGGGGCGGUCUCCUCCUAAAGCGUAACGGAGGAGUACGAAGGUCACCUAGGUACGGUCGGACAUCGUACUGAUAGUGCAAUGGCAAAAGGUGGCUUGACUGCGAGACCCACAAGUCGAGCAGGUGCGAAAGCAGGUCAUAGUGAUCCGGUGGUUCUGUAUGGAAGGGCCAUCGCUCAACGGAUAAAAGGUACUCUGGGGAUAACAGGCUGAUUCCGCCCAAGAGUUCACAUCGACGGCGGAGUUUGGCACCUCGAUGUCGGCUCAUCACAUCCUGGGGCUGUAGCCGGUCCCAAGGGUAUGGCUGUUCGCCAUUUAAAGUGGUACGUGAGCUGGGUUUAAAACGUCGUGAGACAGUUUGGUCCCUAUCUGCCGUGGGCGCUGGAAGUUUGAGAGGGCUUGCUCCUAGUACGAGAGGACCGGAGUGAACGCACCCCUGGUGUACCGGUUGUGACGCCAGUCGCAUCGCCGGGUAGCUAUGUGCGGAAGAGAUAACCGCUGAAAGCAUCUAAGCGGGAAACUCGCCUCAAGAUGAGACUUCCCCGGGGCCUCGAGCCCCCUGAAGGGUCGUUGAAGACCACAACGUUGAUAGGUCGGGUGUGGAAGCGUGGCAACACGUUAAGCUAACCGAUACUAAUUGCCCGUGUGGCUUGAUCC